UGCAGCCUUGUCAAAUUCAGUGCAUCUUCUACAAUGGAUGCCACUGGCCAAAAUGGCUGCUACAUUGAAGGUGUAGCUCAUGGGCCCCAUUGUGCUCCAACAUGGCCCCUGGGGAUAAAUAUGUACUACACACAAAC